UACGUAGGUGGCGAGCGUUUGUCCGGAAUUACUGGGUGUAAAGCGCGUGUAGGCGGGAGGCCAAGUCUGCGGUGAAAUCGCUCGGCUCAACUGGGCGGGGUCCGUGGAAACUGGUCACCUGGAGGACGGUAGAGGCGAGUGGAAUUCCCGGUGUAGUGGUGAAAUGCGUAGAGAUCGGGAGGAACACCAGUGGCGAAGGCGGCU
rnacentral:rRNA from 1 species